rnacentral:rRNA from 1 species
CCUACGGGAGGCUGCAGUAGGGAAUAUUGCUCAAUGGGGGAAACCCUGAAGCAGCAACGCCGCGUGGAGGAUGAAGGUUUUCGGAUGGUAAACUCCUUUUGUUAGAGAAGAGAAUGACGGUAGCUAACGAAUAAGCACCGGCUAACUCCGGGCCAGCAGCCGCGGGAAUAUGGAGGGUGCAAGCGUUACUCGGAAUCACUGGGCGUAAAGAGCGCGUAGGCGGGAUCGCAAGUCCGAUGUGAAAUCCUAUGGCUGAACCAUAGAACUGCAUUUGAAACUGUUAUUCUAGAGUAUGGGAGAGGUAGGUGGAAUUCUUGGUGUAGGGGUCACAUCCGUAGAGAUCAAG